GGACAUUUAGCUCAGCUGGUCAGAGCAUCCGGCUCAUAACCGGACGGUCCUGAGUUCGAAUCUCAGAAUGUCCA
rnacentral:tRNA from 1 species